rfam:Salmo salar isolate Sally breed double haploid chromosome ssa27, whole genome shotgun sequence.
GGGGAAUUAGCUCAAAUGGUAGAGUGCUUGCUUAGCAUGCGAGAUGUAGUGGGUUCGAUGCCCACAUUCUCCA